rnacentral:tRNA from 1 species
GGGUAGGUACCAGAGCGGUCAAAUGGGGCAGGCUGUAAACCUGCUGGCGUAAGUCUACGGGGGUUCGAAUCCCUCACUGCCCACCA